AACUAACGCUGGCGGCGUGCCUAAACACAUGCAAGUCGUACGAGAAAGUCGGCUUCGGCUGAUGAGUAAAGUGGCGCACGGGUGAGUAACGCGUGGAUAAUCUGCCCUUGAGUGUGGAAUAACGUACCGAAAGGUGCGCUAAUACCGCAUAAUGCCUGGCAACACAAGUUGUCCGGCCAAAGAAGGCCUCUGUUUACAAGCUUUUGCUCAAGGAUGAGUCCGCGUACCAUUAGCUAGUUGGUGGGGUAACGGCCUACCAAGGCUACGAUGGUUAGCUGGUCUGAGAGGAUGAUCAGCCACACUGGAACUGAGACACGGUCCAGACUCCUACGGGAGCAGCAGUGAGGAUAUUGCGCAAUGGGGCAACCCUGACGCAGCAACGCCGCGUGAGUGAGGAAGGUUUUCGGACUGUAAAGCUCUGUCGAGCGGGAAGAAAUGUACCAUGGCUAAUAUCCAUGAUAUUUGACGGUACCG
rnacentral:rRNA from 1 species